rnacentral:rRNA from 1 species
AGAGUUUGAUCAUGGCUCAGGACGAACGCUGGCGGCGUGCCUAAUACAUGCAAGUCGAACGGUCUUUUCUAUGGAAGCUUGCUUCCACUGAGAAGAUAGUGGCGAACGGGUGAGUAACACGUGGGUAACCUGCCCAUAAGAGGGGGAUAACAUCCGGAAACGGGUGCUAAUACCGCAUAGUUUUCUUGAUCGCAUGAUCGGGAAAGGAAAGACGGCCUUUGUGCUGUCGCUUAUGGAUGGACCCGCGGCGUAUUAGUUAGUUGGUGAGGUAACGGCUCACCAAGACGAUGAUACGUAGCCGACCUGAGAGGGUGAUCGGCCACAUUGGGACUGAGACACGGCCCAAUCUCCUACGGGAGGCAGCAGUAGGGAAUCUUCCGCAAUGGACGAAAGUCUGACGGAGCAACGCCGCGUGAGUGAAGAAGGUUUUCGGAUCGUAAAACUCUGUUGUCAGAGAAGAACAAGUUGGAGAGUAACUGCUCCAGCCUUGACGGUAUCUGACCAGAAAGCCACGGCUAACUACGUGCCAGCAGCCGCGGUAAUACGUAGGUGGCAAGCGUUGUCCGGAUUUAUUGGGCGUAAAGCGAGCGCAGGCGGUUCCUUAAGUCUGAUGUGAAAGCCCACGGCUCAACCGUGGAAGGUCAUUGGAAACUGGGGAACUUGAGUGCAGAAGAGGAGAGUGGAAUUCCAUGUGUAGCGGUGAAAUGCGUAGAUAUAUGGAGGAACACCAGUGGCGAAGGCGACUCUCUGGUCUGUAACUGACGCUGAGGCUCGAAAGCGUGGGGAGCAAACAGGAUUAGAUACCCUGGUAGUCC